AGUAGAGUAGCUACGUCACAGCGCCUGCGUCACUCACCUCUCUUCAUCCCAUUACGUAGGCAGUUUCACAUCUCACAACGUCACAAGAAGGCUUUCACUGCAUCUUUGGUGGAACAGUGUGACCUGAAGCUCUUCACAGCAGAUAUCAUCAUGUAAUACUUACUCUUUCGUGGCAUGACCUCAGUUGGUGUCAAGGUUUCAAAAGCCCAUGCAAUACGUCACACAUUCCUGACUCAAAAUUCUUGCCCACCAUGUAAAGGGGUUGCACGUUACAAGGAGCCUGGAAGAAACUGCCAGUGCACACUCUGAAGGACUUGUGUGGAACGCUUGGUGUUACGGGGAGACUGCUCGUAUAGAAAAGAGUUCAAACACAGUCCAUGGUGACCAGGCACAUGCUGAACUGGAUGGAGAUGAUACGACAAUUGGAAAAACCUGACUACCCUCCUGCUACUCUUCCACAAUGCUGACCAACUACUUCCUUGCCUGCCUGGAUCAUCCUGUUUGCGGACACUGGACAUCAUCUCCAGCAUAGUUACGUUAACUGGAUUUCCUCUGCUAUUUGCUUUUGAAUCCACCUGGGCUCCCCUCAGUGGGUGUGUCUAGUCUCUGGGUCCUGGCCUCAUUCAGUCUGGUCCAUCCUGCUGGGCACCUAGAUAGAAUAACAGUAACAUAAAUUUUAUACUUGAUUUUAGGAAAAACUUAUAGAUUCCCACAGGUAGAGCUAAAGCUGAACAAUGAGUGGGAAAAACUGUUACCCAGAGAGGGAGUUAAAAAUACACAUCUAACAAAAAUACUCAGGUUGGGUAAGGAGCCAAGAAUUCCCAAAUUUAUUUUCUCUUCCUACACUACUAUCACUAUUUUUAUCCUUAUUCCUCCAAUCAUCACUCCAUUAGAUCUUAACACAUUUUUUCCCUUGCCUUUAUUUAUUUA